UCUACGGGUGGCAGCAGUGAGGAAUAUUGGUCAAUGGGCGCAAGCCUGAACCAGCCAAGUCGCGUGAAGGAUGAAGGCCCUACGGUUUUUCAACUUUUUUUAUAAAGGAAUAAAGUGAGGCACUUGCGCAUUUUGGUAUGUACUUUAUGAAUAAGGAUCGUCUCACUCCGUUCCAGCAGCCGCGGUAAUACGGAGGAGUCGAGCGUUAUCCGGAAUGGUUGGGUUGAAUGGGAGUGUAGGUGGGUUGGUAAGUCAGUUGUGAAAGUUUGCGGCUCAAACGGAAAAGUGCAAUUGAUACUAUCAGGCUUGAGUACAGUUGAGGUAGGCGGAAUGCGUGGUGUAGCGGUGAAAUGCUGAGAUAUCACGAAGAACUCCGAUUGCGAAGGCAGCUUACUAAACUGCAACUGACAUUGAGGCUCGAAAGUGUGGGUAUCAAACAGGAUUAGAUACCCCUGUAGUC
rnacentral:rRNA from 1 species